rnacentral:rRNA from 1 species
GUGGGGAAUAUUGGACAAUGGGCGAAAGCCUGAUCCAGCCAUGCCGCGUGAGUGAUGAAGGCCCUAGGGUUGUAAAGCUCUUUCAGUGGGGAAGAUAAUGACGGUACCCACAGAAGAAGCCCCGGCUAACUUCGUGCCAGCAGCCGCGGUAAUACGAAGGGGGCUAGCGUUGUUCGGAUUUACUGGGCGUAAAGCGCACGUAGGCGGAUUGUUAAGUUAGAGGUGAAAUCCCGGGGCUCAACCCCGGAACUGCCUUUGAUACUGGCAAUCUCGAGUCCGGAAGAGGUGAGUGGAAUUCCGAGUGUAGAGGUGAAAUUCGUAGAUAUUCGGAGGAACACCAGUGGCGAAGGCGGCUCACUGGUCCGGUACUGACGCUGAGGUGCGAAAGCGUGGGGAGCAAACAGGAUUAGAAACCCUAGUAGUCC